rnacentral:rRNA from 1 species
GACGAACGCUGGCGGCGUGCCUAAUACAUGCAAGUCGAGCGAAUCUUUAGAAGCUUGCUUCUGAAGAUUAGCGGCGGACGGGUGAGUAACACGUGGGUAACCUGCCUGUAAGACUGGGAUAACACCGGGAAACCGGUGCUAAUACCGGAUAAUCCUUUUCCUCUCAUGAGGAAAAGCUGAAAGUCGGUUUCGGCUGACACUUACAGAUGGGCCCGCGGCGCAUUAGCUAGUUGGUGAGGUAACGGCUCACCAAGGCGACGAUGCGUAGCCGACCUGAGAGGGUGAUCGGCCACACUGGGACUGAGACACGGCCCAGACUCCUACGGGAGGCAGCAGUAGGGAAUCUUCCACAAUGGACGAAAGUCUGAUGGAGCAACGCCGCGUGAGCGAUGAAGGCCUUCGGGUCGUAAAGCUCUGUUGUUAGGGAAGAACAAGUAUCGGAGUAACUGCCGGUACCUUGACGGUACCUAACCAGAAAGCCACGGCUAACUACGUGCCAGCCGCCGCAGUAACAC